GAUGAACGCUGGCGGCGUGCCUAAUACAUGCAAGUCGAGCGAACGGACGAGAAGCUUGCUUCUCUGAUGUUAGCGGCGGACGGGUGAGUAACACGUGGAUAACCUACCUAUAAGACUGGGAUAACUUCGGAAAACCGGAGCUAAUACCGGAUAAUAUUUUGAACCGCAUGGUUCAAAAGUGAAAGACGGUCUUGCUGUCACUUAUAGAUGGAUCCGCGCUGCAUUAGCUAGUUGGUAAGGUAACGGCUUACCAAGGCAACGAUGCAUAGCCGACCUGAGAGGGUGAUCGGCCACACUGGAACUGAGACACGGUCCAGACGCCUACGGGAGGCAGCAGUAGGGAAUCUUCCGCAAUGGGCGAAAGCCUGACGGAGCAACGCCGCGUGAGUGAUGAAGGUCUUCGGAUCGUAAAACUCUGUUAUUAGGGAAGAACAUAUGUGUAAGUAACUGUGCACAUCUUGACGGUACCUAAUCAGAAAGCCACGGCUAACUACGUG
rnacentral:rRNA from 1 species